ensembl:snoRNA
GGCCUCCGCCUCUGAUGAAGUCAUUGUUGGUAGGGACAGCUGAGACGCUGAUGAACGCCAACGGCUCUGAUGGCGGAAC